rnacentral:rRNA from 1 species
AGCCGCCGCGGUAACACCGGCGGCCCGAGUGGUGAUCGUGAUUAUUGGGUCUAAAGGGUCCGUAGCCGGUUUGGUCAGUCCUCCGGGAAAUCUGAUAGCUCAACUAUUAGGCUUUCGGGGGAUACUGCCAGACUUGGAACCGGGAGAGGUAAGAGGUACUACAGGGGUAGGAGUGAAAUCUUGUAAUCCCUGUGGGACCACCUGUGGCGAAGGCGUCUUACCAGAACGGGUUCGACGGUGAGGGACGAAAGCUGGGGGCACGAACCGGAUUAGAUACCCGGGUAGUCCCAGCCGUAAACGAUGCUCGCUAGGUGUCAGGCAUGGCGCGACCGUGUCUGGUGCCGCAGGGAAGCCGUGAAGCGAGCCACCUGGGAAGUACGGCCGCAAGGCUGAAACUUAAAGGAAUUGGCGGGGGAGCACAACAACGGGUGGAAGCCUGCGGUUUAAUUGGACUCAACGCCGGACAACUCACCGGGGGCGACAGCAAUAUGUAGGCCAAGCUGAAGACUUUGCCUGAAUCGCUGAGGGGUGGUGCAUGG